rnacentral:rRNA from 1 species
UACGUAGGGGGCAAGCGUUGUCCGGAAUUAUUGGGCGUAAAGAGCGUGUAGGCGGUCCGGUAAGUCAGCUGUGAAAGUCAAGGGCUCAACCCUUGAAUGCCGGUUGAUACUGUCGGGCUAGAGUCCGGAAGAGGCGAGUGGAAUUCCCGGUGUAGCGGUGAAAUGCGUAGAUAUUGGGAGGAACACCAGUGGCGAAGGCGGCUCACUGGACCGGAACUGACGCUGAGGCGCGAAAGCGUGGGGAGCGAACAGG